AUGGGAAGGAGAUAUUGCCAAUAUAGCUAAAAACAUUGUCGAAGAGCAAAGCCCAAGGCAAUUAUAUGUCAUCCGUGGAAAGCUCAAGAAACUUAUCGAGCACAAUGUGUCCCCUGAUUUUAUUUUCAGUAUGCUUAUUGUAGAACUGAAGAAGAACAUGGAUGAGGAGUUCAGGGAUAAGAUAGAUGACUUAUAUCAGAGAUAUAGCAAUGUAAUAUCCACUUUUCUCACUAGAAUACUUGUAGUACAACAUGCUGUCUAAAAUAGGUUAGUUCAGUGACUAACAUCUAGUUCCUUUUUCUUUUCUUUUUUUUUUUUUUAAAAAAUUUUUUAUGGGUGAUUAUCAGUUAAACAAUUCACUUACCCUUGAGGAUGGGCCCAUGGCUUUCGGAGACAUCAAGCAAGAAGGCUCUGGCAAAAAAUAUCAUGACCCAAAGAGGGAUGUUCAAUAUUUCAUGAGAAUCGAAGAAUUUACCGCAAAGUUCAUGAGCUUCUACAAGUCGAUAGCCCCGAAGAGCAUACCUGGAGAGGUGAACUGUUAAAAUGUGAAAGUAUAUCACAUUUUAGGAUACCUAUAGUAUAACCACAUGAAACAAGAAGUGGUUUUGAAUAAAACAAGUAUAAAGCUAGUUCAUACAAUAUUUGAACUUUGCAAUUCACUUGUGUGCUUCAGGGGGUUUUAUAUAGUG